rnacentral:rRNA from 1 species
AAUGAACGCUGGCGGCAGGCCUAACACAUGCAAGUCGAACGGAUCCUUCGGGAUUAGUGGCGGACGGGUGAGUAACGCGUGGGAACAUACCCUUUGGUACGGAAUAGCCUCGGGAAACUGGGAGUAAUACCGUAUGUGGUCGAGAGACGAAAGAUUUAUCGCCAAAGGAUUGGCCCGCGUUGGAUUAGGUAGUUGGUUGGGUAAUGGCCUACCAAGCCGACGAUCGAUAGCUGGUUUGAGAGGAUGAUCAGCCACACUGGGACUGAGACACGGCCCAGACUCCUACGGGAGGCAGCAGUGGGGAAUCUUAGACAAUGGGGGAAACCCUGAUCUAGCCAUGCCGCGUGAUCGAUGAAGGCCUUAGGGUUGUAAAGAUCUUUCAGGUGGGAAGAUAAUGACUGUACCACCAGAAGAAGCCCCGGCUAACUCCGUGCCAGCCGCCGCAGUAA